ensembl:lncRNA
GGGAAAACAAAAACUUCUAGAAUAUAAAGAAGUCCUCAGUGUGUUGGAUGACAUUUGCUCCAGUGAGCUUCUGAAUAUAAUAAGUUGCUUUUUAAUCUGUUGCUUUUUAAUGCAAAAACAGCCCAGAAGAACAAAACUCUGUGACUCUAAUACAGCCUUUGGAUUUGUUGUGACUACAAACAAUUUCAGUUUUUAAGGGCUUCUCAUUUUGUCCCAGUCAAUUUACAUUUCACUUCAUCCAAUUGAAACAACUCUUAAAUGCCAAAAUAACGUUCUUCUGGCAGAGAAAGGUUUUCUUAAGCACCCCCCAAAGCGAGCUGUACUGAUAGUUUUGUUUGUGUUAGAUAUCUUGAAUUUGAUGUUUAGUUGCCUUUAAGCAAGACAAGACAGACCUUUGAUUAGGAGCUUGAUGACAUUCACACCCCAUUAGCUGUGUGCUCAACACACUUUAUAAAGCAAAAGUGGUUCCAUUACAUUCCCACUCUCAAAUCAAAGACAGUCUAACAAAUACUGAGGAGUGUUUGGGUUAUGUGCAAUUUAUACACUUAAGAAUUUUUGUUUUUUGUUUUUUUAAAAGAAAUACCCUUAAGAAUUUUUUUUUAAAGAAUGUUUUCAGAGUAAAAUGCAAGGGUGUAUAGAUUAAUAUAAGCAAAUAUUCCCACCCAAAUAUGAAUGAACCGAUAGCAUAUAGUUCUGAGCAAUAAAAUAACAACUGAAUUUAAACAUUUUCUUGGGAAAUAAGGUUCCAAAGAUUAAAUCUUUACUGAGUUCUCAUUACAUUUAUUAGUAGUAAAUAAUGACUCAAAAUAGUCUUUUAUUUUCCAAAAAUAUUGGUAAUUACUAAAUAGAAAAUAUAACAUUUUUAGGUAUGCAUAUCUUCCUAGCUUGGAAGGGGUGGCAUGGUGAAGGACACUUGGCAACACCACUGUUUUGAAUUGGGCCUUAACCAGAUUUUCUACCUCAAGGUGAUGCACCACAAUAAGAUUCCUGGUCAGACAGAGAGAGUGGAAUCAGGGAUCUUUACCGGCCAUCUCCUUGCUAUUCCUUCUCCCCGCAGCAAAUUUCAUCUGAUUUUUAAGGAUGGCAAACAGACCUUCAGUAUCAUCUUGGAAAAUGGACUUUUGGAGAAAUAAUAUUUUGCCAGGCAAGAUUUCACAGCGAUUCCUUUGUGACUGAGACCUUUUUCUGCAUUUCUUUCCACCUGGCAGUGUACUAGAAUGUGAAUUUGCAAGGUUGGGAGCUGGCCCUUGUCUCCAGUCCAUGAGAAAAAAGCUCCCCCUAGCUGUGCUGCUCACCACACAAAUAAGCACAAAGUUUCCCUACUGUCAGGAUGGAGCUGAGGAAGAGCCUAUUACGGGCGCUUGUCAGAUACCACAAGUAGUUUGUGAGGUGUCAGCUCAGCAGCCAUCCUGGAGGGAAGGAGCACACUUUUAACUCCAUUAAAUAUCUUGGAGGCUUUUGGCAACAAAAGACACUUGACUGCCAUUUCUCCUUGCAUUUUGUUCUGCUACUUUUGGUUUAGCAUUCCCUUAAAAUGGUUUAACUAGGAGCAUUUAGGAAAUAGCCCAAACAUAUGUGAUCAUUUUUGC